rnacentral:rRNA from 1 species
GCCAGCCCGCUCAGAAACUCAAAUGAAUUGACGGGGGCCGCACAAGCAGCGGAGCAUGUGGUUUAAUUCGAAGCAACGCGAAGAACCUUACCUAGACUUGACAUCUCCUGAAUUACCCGUAACUGGGGAAGCUCUUCGGAGCAGGAAGACAGGUGGUGCAUGGUUGUCGUCAGCUCGUGUCGUGAGAUGUUGGGUUAAGUCCCGCAACGAGCGCAACCCUUUAUCGUUAGUUGCUACCAUUAAGUUGAGCACUCUAGCGAGACUGCCCGGGUUAACCGGGAGGAAGGUGGGGAUGACGUCAAAUCAUCAUGCCCCUUAUGUCUAGGGCUACACACGUGCUACAAUGGUGAGGACAAAGAGACGCAAGACCGCGAGGUGGAGCAAAUCUCACAAACCUCAUCCCAGUUCGGAUUGCAGGCUGAAACUCGCCUGCAUGAAGCCGGAGUUGCUAGUAAUCGCGAAUCAGCAUGUCGCGGUGAAUACGUUCCCGGGCCUU